ACCUGCACCCAUGGAAGCAAAGCCGCCAAGGUGUCAACUACCAAACCAAUAGGCUUAUUAGCGAUCAUGAAAAUUAGCAUAGAAUCACAGGUAAUUAGUUUGCUUAAAAUGGAGUUAAUGAUGAUUAAAGCAUGCCUGCUUCAAUGAAAAUUAUGAUGAAAAAGGAUUCCAAAGACAUAAGCUUCUAACGUGAAAUCUAAGAUACAACUAGCAGCAAAGGGAGAUACACAAUUACAAAUUAUCCAUGUCAUUCAUAUUCAGUACUCAUGGUGAUAUUUACAGACAGGAUUGGUUGGUAUCCUCAUCUUUUAAAUAUACUAGCUGUGCUAUUGCACACUCUUAGUGUAGUUUUUUUUUUGUCUAAAAUGAAUGGAAAAAUUUUCGAGCUUUAUUUGUAUGGGGAAAAAAAGGUUCUUUGUACUAGGUUAGUUUUUUUUUUUUUUUUUUGUUAUGAUUUCCCCUUUUAGCUCAUCAGUGGGUGCUCUUAUCAUCCAUAAUUGCUAAAAUUACACACAAUGUUAAUAGGAUAGGAUUUAUUUUAAGUCCAUUGCAAAGCAGAAAUAAGGAGUUUCCCCUUUUGAAUGGGAUGCUGGUAAAAAGGGCUUUAAGAUCCGUGAAAUUACGUGCACAUCCGACCAUCUGCUGUACAUGGCGCACCUAAAACACACCCAAGUUGACACCACCUUGUAAUUAAUUACGAGUCGGUGCAUGCAUCACAAGUUAUCAACCAACAGAGUUGACUUGGUCAAAAUAGCCAACGGGACAAAAAGGAAGUCCAGAUCGGAGUAGAAAUCUCGUGGAAUCAAUCGAAGAAGUAAGUGAGACCCGGUGGUCCCACUUCAGAAAAUAGUACACUUCCAACAAGCCAAAUUAAUUCGCUAAUAAAUGACAUGGAAAAACUCNN
rnacentral:lncRNA from 1 species